rnacentral:rRNA from 1 species
AUGGCUCCAGCUCGAGUUGUUGCAGUGGUGCUGCUGGCGGUCGGCAGUUUGCUGCUGUCUGCGGCUGCGGACACCGCAACUGCGCCAUCCCCGCAACCGUUCGUCUGGCAGAAGGCGCAUGCAACGUUCUAUGGUGGUGCUGAUGCCUCUGACACAAUGGGUAAUCAGUCAAGUCACGCCACUAUAUCUAUCUAG